AAGUCGUAACAAGGUUUCCGUAGGCGAACCUGCGGAAGGAUCAUUAUCAUAACGUAUCCACGUAUAAACCAACUUUAAAUUGAUGUGAAACGUAACUGUUUUAACACCUCGAGAUAAUCAGAUGAUUGCUAUACUUUACAUUGUUUGCGUGAUUAAAGCAAAAACGGUUUAGUAUGGACCUGUGCCUGUAACAAGGUGCUAGCGCUGAUUAUUUGGAGUGUAAAAAAUUUAAUCAACUAUUAACCCAUUGAACCGAAUUACUAUAUUCUUAACUGAGUUUAGUUAUUCAUUUUAAUUUCUAUUGUGUGAACUGAAUUGUCUACUUACUUGACACCGUCAUUGGUGGAGAGAAGUCGAUUAUAUUUACGAAACAUUAUAAAUUUCUAUGAACAACUCUUAGCAACGGAUAUCUUGGUUCUC
rnacentral:misc_RNA from 1 species